rnacentral:lncRNA from 1 species
AUUGGGACUUUCUUGUGUGGGUGUCCAUCACCCUUUGUCCCACCUCUGGGAAGGUCUGAGAGGAGGGCCAAGUUUGCCACCCCAGCAGGUUGCCACCUUCUGAGGGUGGGUGAGUUCCCAGCAAUCACAGCAAUGCAGUUAGGUCUCUCCAAAAUUCAGCAAACCUUUCUGGUAUAUUAGCUUCAUUGCAUGGCCCUUCGGAAAUUCCUCCAAU